rnacentral:rRNA from 1 species
UUCACCGGAGCUUGCUCCACCGAAAGAAAAGGAGUGGCGAACGGGUGAGUAACACGUGGGUAACCUGCCCAUCAGAAGGGGAUAACACUUGGAAACAGGUGCUAAUACCGUAUAACAAUCGAAACCGCAUGGUUUCGGUUUGAAAGGCGCUUUUGCGUCACUGAUGGAUGGACCCGCGGUGCAUUAGCUAGUUGGUGAGGUAACGGCUCACCAAGGCAACGAUGCAUAGCCGACCUGAGAGGGUGAUCGGCCACAUUGGGACUGAGACACGGCCCAAACUCCUACGGGAGGCAGCAGUAGGGAAUCUUCGGCAAUGGACGCAAGUCUGACCGAGCAACGCCGCGUGAGUGAAGAAGGUUUUCGGAUCGUAAAACUCUGUUGUUAGAGAAGAACAAGGAUGAGAGUAGAAUGUUCAUCCCUUGACGGUAUCUAACCAGAAAGCCACGGCUAACUACGUGCCAGCAGCCGCGGUAAUACGUAGGUGGCAAGCGUUGUCCGGAUUUAUUGGGCGUAAAGCGAGCGCAGGCGGUUUCUUAAGUCUGAUGUGAAAGCCCCCGGCUCAACCGGGGAGGGUCAUUGGAAACUGGGAAACUUGAGUGCAGAAGAGGAGAGUGGAAUUCCAUGUGUAGCGGUGAAAUGCGUAGAUAUAUGGAGGAACACCAGUGGCGAAGGCGGCUCUCUGGUCUGUAAC